rnacentral:tRNA from 1 species
GGUAGUUUAGCUUAAUGGUAAAGCACUCAGCCAGUGUCUUGAGGGGUGUGAGUUCAACUCUCAUGGCUGUUU